CAGCAGCCGCGGUAAUACGGAGGGGGCUAGCGUUGUUCGGAAUUACUGGGCGUAAAGCGCACGUAGGCGGCUUUGUAAGUCAGAGGUGAAAGCCCGGGGCUCAACCCCGGAAUUGCCUUUGAGACUGCAUCGCUUGAAUCCAGGAGAGGUGAGUGGAAUUCCGAGUGUAGAGGUGAAAUUCGUAGAUAUUCGGAAGAACACCAGUGGCGAAGGCGGCUCACUGGACUGGUAUUGACGCUGAGGUGCGAAAGCGUGGGGAGCAAACAGGAUUAGAUACCCCAGUAGUCCCUGUCUCUUAUAC
rnacentral:rRNA from 1 species